GAUGAACGCUGGCGGCGUGCCUAAUACAUGCAAGUCGAGCGAACGGACGAGAAGCUUGCUUCUCUGAUGUUAGCGGCGGACGGGUGAGUAACACGUGGAUAACCUACCUAUAAGACUGGGAUAACUUCGGGAAACCGGAGCUAAUACCGGAUAAUAUUUUGAACCGCAUGGUUCAAAAGUGAAAGACGGUCUUGCUGUCACUUAUAGAUGGAUCCGCGCUGCAUUAGCUAGUUGGUAAGGUAACGGCUUACCAAGGCAACGAUGCAUAGCCGACCUGAGAGGAGGAAACGCCACACGUGAACCGGAACACGGUCCGGACUCCUACGGGAGGCAGCAGUUGGGAAUAUUGCACAAUGGGCGGAAGCGUGAUGCAGCAAUGCAGAAUGUAUGAAUAAGGCCUUCGGGUUGUAAAGUACUUUCAGCGGGGAGGAAGGGAGUAAAGUUAAUACCGGCGCUCAUUGACGUUACCCGCAGAAGAAGCAACGGCUAACUCCGUG
rnacentral:rRNA from 1 species